GACGAACGCUGGCGGCGUGCUUAACACAUGCAAGUCGAACGGAAAGGCCCUGCUUUUGUGGGGUGCUCGAGUGGCGAACGGGUGAGUAACACGUGAGUAACCUGCCCUUGACUUUGGGAUAACUUCAGGAAACUGGGGCUAUUACCGGAUAGGAGCUCCUGCUGCAUGGUGUGGGUUGGAAAGUUUCGGCGGUUGGGGAUGGACUCGCGGGUUAUCAGCUUGUUGGUGGGGUAGUGGCUUACCAAGGCUUUGACGGGUAGCCGGCCUGAGAGGGUGACCGGCCACAUUGGGACUGAGAUACGGCCCAGACGGCUACGGGAGGCAGCAGUGGGGAAUAUUGCACAAUGGGCGGAAGCCUGAUGCAGAAACGCCGCGUGCGGGAUGACGGCCUUCGGGUUGUAAACCGCUUUCGCCUGUGACGAAGCGUGAGUGACGGUAAUGGGUAAAGAAGCACCGGCUAACUACGUG
rnacentral:rRNA from 1 species